rnacentral:rRNA from 1 species
UACGUAGGGGGCUAGCGUUGUCCGGAUUUAUUGGGCGUAAAGAGCGUGUAGGCGGCCAGGUAGGUCUGCUGUGAAAACUCGAGGCUCAACCUCGAGACGUCGGCGGAAACCAUCUGGCUAGAGUCCGGAAGAGGAGAGUGGAAUUCCUGGUGUAGCGGUGAAAUGCGCAGAUAUCAGGAAGAACACCCGUGGCGAAGGCGGCUCUCUGGGACGGUACUGACGCUGAGACGCGAAAAGCGUGGGGAGCGAACAGGG